rnacentral:rRNA from 1 species
UUGAUCUCAAAUCAGGUAGGACUACCCGCUGAACUUAAGCAUAUCAAUAAGCGGAGGAAAAGAAACUAACAAGGAUUCCCCUAGUAACUGCGAGUGAAGCGGGAUGAGCUCAAAUUUAAAAUCUGGCGUGCCUCUGGUCGUCCGAGUUGUAGUCUGGAGAAGCGUUUUCCGUGUGGGACCGUGUAUAAGUCUCUUGGAACAGGGCGUCAUAGAGGGUGAGAAUCCCGUCUUUGACACGGACUACCAAUGCUUUGUGAUGCGCUCUCAAAGAGUCGAGUUGUUUGGGAAUGCAGCUCAAAAUGGGUGGUAAAUUCCAUCUAAAGCUAAAUAUAGGCGAGAGACCGAUAGCGAACAAGUACCGUGAGGGAAAGAUGAAAAGCACUUUGGGAAAGAGAGUUAAACAGUACGUGAAAUGCUGAAAGGGAACGC